rnacentral:rRNA from 1 species
GGACCCGCACAAGCGGUGGAGCAUGUGGUUUAAUUCGAUGCAACGCGAAGAACCUUACCUGGUCUUGACAUCCUGCGAACUUUCUAGAAAUAGAUUGGUGCCUUCGGGAACGCAGUGACAGGUGCUGCAUGGCUGUCGUCAGCUCGUGUCGUGAGAUGUUGGGUUAAGUCCCGUAACGAGCGCAACCCCUAUCCUUAUUUGCCAGCACAUCAUGGUGGGAACUAUAAGGAGACUGCCGGUGAUAAACCGGAGGAAGGCGGGGACGACGUCAAGUCAUCAUGGCCCUUACGACCAGGGCUACACACGUGCUACAAUGGGAAGGACAAAGAGCCGCGAAGCCGCGAGGUGUAGCUAAUCUCAUAAACUCGGUCUCAGUUCGGAUUGCAGGCUGCAACUCGCCUGCAUG